rnacentral:rRNA from 1 species
UACGUAGGGUGCAAGCGUUGUCCGGAAUUAUUGGGCGUAAAGAGCUCGUAGGCGGUCUGUCACGUCGUCUGUGAAAACCCGAGGCUCAACCUCGGGCCUGCAGUCGAUACGGGCAGACUAGAGUUCGGUAGGGGAGACUGGAAUUCCUGGUGUAGCGGUGAAAUGCGCAGAUAUCAGGAGGAACACCGGUGGCGAAGGCGCUGCUCUGGGCCGAUACUGACGCUGAGGAGCGAAAGCGUGGGUAGCAAACAGG